UCCAAUAGAUCAUGGAGCCGCUCGAAUCGGGUCUCCUGGCACUGCACCACGUUGGUCAGCGCGGUCACCUGCGCUUGCAACCGAUCGAUCACGCUCGGUUCCUCCUGCUCGGGCACCUCAGGAAUCGGUGCUGGGGCAGAUCUACGCGUGUAGCGUCUUGGAGACAUUAGUCCCUGAAACGCAGAUACUCGGUCAGUUAUCUUAACUAAUUGCCUCGUCGCAAUUAUGUCACUUGACGACUCAACAACAAAAAAAUCGGGCGGAAGCACACAAGUGCACUCGUUCUAGACUCUUGGUAUCAUGUCAUCGGCCACCGACACAACCACCUCAAGACAAGAACUCCUACAACUUGAGUCCGUCUCUAAUCACAACUAGAGACACAUUACCAACUUCGACCCAAUCGAAAUAACUUCCGCCAUUGCUAUAGGUUCACGUUCCGCUCACGCACCUAUAACCUUAGGGCUUACCAACCUAUGGUCUCCUAGGUCAUCCUAGACUUUCUCUCUUUACUUGCUCUUAUUGCUCUGAUACCACAGCUGUCACGCCCCGCCCCAAAACCACUAUCAAUUUCGCACGUUUCGGCCGCGGCGGCGGACCGCCGAACGGACAGCACCUCCCCUGUCCG
rnacentral:lncRNA from 1 species